CUCAACACGGGGAAACUCACCAGGUCCAGACACAAUAAGGAUUGACAGAUUGAGAGCUCUUUCUUGAUUUUGUGGGUGGUGGUGCAUGGCCGUUCUUAGUUGGUGGAGUGAUUUGUCUGCUUAAUUGCGAUAACGAACGAGACCUUAACC
rnacentral:rRNA from 1 species